rnacentral:rRNA from 1 species
AUAUGGGACGAAAUGUUCCGAUUCUUCGGGGCUUGACGGUACCAUAGGAAUAAGCACCGGCUAACUCCGUGCCAGCAGCCGCGGUAAUACGGAGGGUGCAAGCGUUAUCCGGAAUCACUGGGCGUAAAGGGCGCGUAGGCGGUUUGUUAAGUCCGAUGUUAAAUCCCGAGGCUCAACCUCGGAUCAGCGUUGGAUACUGGCAGGCUCGACGGUUGGAGAGGCGAGUGGAAUUACCAGUGUAGCGGUGGAAUGCGUAGAUACUGGUAGGAACACCCAUUGCGAAGGCAGCUCGCUGGACAACACGUGACGCUGAGGCGCGAAAGUGUGGGGAGC